GGAGGGGUGCCGGAGUGGUUGAACGGGCCGGUCUCGAAAACCGGUGUGUCCGUAAGGGCACCGCGGGUUCGAAUCCCGCCCCCUCCG
rnacentral:tRNA from 1 species